rnacentral:rRNA from 1 species
GAUGAACGCUGGCGGCGUGCCUAAUACAUGCAAGUCGAGCGAACAGACGAGGAGCUUGCUCCUCUGACGUUAGCGGCGGACGGGUGAGUAACACGUGUAUAACCUACCUAUAAGACUGGGAUAACUUCGGGAAACCGGAGCUAAUACCGGAUAAUAUAUUGAACCGCAUUGUUCAAUAGUGAAAGACGGUUUUGCUGUCACUUAUAGAUGGAUCCGCGCCGCAUUAGCUAGUUGGUAAGGUAACGGCUUACCAAGGCAACGAUGCGUAGCCGACCUGAGAGGGUGAUCGGCCACACUGGAACUGAGACACGGUCCAGACUCCUACGGGAGGCAGCAGUAGGGAAUCUUCCGCAAAGGGCGAAAGCCUGACGGAGCAACGCCGCGUGAGUGAUGAAGGUCUUCGGAUCGUAAAACUCUGUUAUUAGGGAAGAACAAAUGUGUAAGUAACUAUGCACGUCUUGACGGUACCUAAUCAGAAAGCCACGGCUAACUACGUG